rnacentral:tRNA from 2 species
GCGCCUGUAGCUCAAUUGGAUAGAGUGUUGGCCUCCGAAGCCAAAGGUUGUGGGUUCAAUCCCCGCCAGGCGCACCA